rnacentral:tRNA from 1 species
UCCCAGGUAGCUCAGCGGUAGAGCGGACGACUGUUAAUCGUUUGGUCGAUGGUUCAAUCCCAUCUCUGGGAG